UAGCCCCCAGGCUUCACUUGGCG
rnacentral:miRNA from 5 species